rnacentral:rRNA from 1 species
UACGUAGGGUGCAAGCGUUAAUCGGAAUUACUGGGCGUAAAGCGUGCGCAGGCGGUUGUGCAAGACAGAUGUGAAAUCCCCGGGCUCAACCUGUGAAUGCCGCUGGAAACUGUCUGGCUAGAGUCCGGUAGGGGCGAGUGGAAUUCCUGGUGUAGCGGUGAAAUGCGCAGAUAUCAGGAGGAACACCAAUGGCGAAGGCAGCUCGCUGGAACGGUACUGACGCUGAGGCGCGAAAGCGUGGGGAGCAAACAGG